UACGUAGGGUGCGAGCGUUGUCCGGAAUUAUUGGGCGUAAAGGGCGCGUAGGCGGCCACCGCAAGUCGACUGUGAAAUCUCCGGGCUUAACCCGGAAAGGUCAGCCGAUACUGCGGGGCUAGAGUGCAGAAGGGGCAACUGGAAUUCUCGGUGUAGCGGUGAAAUGCGUAGAUAUCGAGAGGAACACCUGCGGCGAAGGCGGGUUGCUGGGCUGACACUGACGCUGAUGCGCGAAAGCUAGGGGAGCGAACGGG
rnacentral:rRNA from 1 species